UGCCCGGUGACGAGAGUUUAACGGCUGCAGUUAAUAGCUGUACUAAGGUAGCGCAAUGAAUUGUCCUUUAAUUGGGGAAAGGAAUGAAUGGACUGACGUGGGAGCAGCUGUCUUUUUAGUGAAUUUUGAAAUUUUUCUUUUGGUUAAAAAGCCAAGGUAUUUGUAAAAGACGAGAAGACCCUAUCGAGCUUGGUUAUGGGCUGGUUUUUAUAUCAGUUCAAAUGUUUUACUGGGGCAGUAGAAAAGGAAAACUUUUUUUGUAGUUAGUAGCUGUUGAGUAAAGGAUCCCUUUUUUAGGAUAAAAAGAUAAAGCUACCGUAGGGAUAACAGCGUAAUUUUUUACUGGAGGGCUUAUCGAAUAAAAAGUUUGCGACCUCGAUGUUGGACUAAAGCUCCUGUUUGGUGGAGAGACUAAAAAAGUAGGACUGUUCGUCCUUUAAAGCUUUACGU
rnacentral:rRNA from 1 species